UAGUGUUUCUCAAGUUUAAAUUUUUAUUAAGAAAAAAAUUAUGAAUCCUUCAAUGAUAUAUUUUCAUUAGAAAACAAUUAAAAUAUAGACAUACAAGGAAUAGAAACAGCUCCAGUCUACAGCUCCCAGCAUGAGCAAUGCAGAAGAUGGGUGAUUUCUGCAUUUCCAACUGAGGUACCAGGUUCAUCUCACUGGGGUUUGUUAGACAGUGGGUGCAGGACAGUGGGUGCAGCACACCGAGCAUGAGAUGAAGCAGGGCGAUGCAUUGCCUCACCUGGGAAGCACAAGGGGUUGGGGAAUUCCCUUUCAUAGCCAAGCAAAGUUGUGACAGAUGGCACCUGGAGAAUCGGGUCACUCUCACCCUAAUACUGUGCUUUUCCAACAGUCUUAGCAAAUGGCACACCAAGAGAUUAUAACCUGCGCAUGGCUCAGAGGGUCCCACGCCCACGGAGCCUCACUCAUUGCUAGCACAGCAGUCUGAGAUGGAACUGCAAGGCAGCAGCAAGGCUGUGGGAGGGGUGCCCGCCAUUGCUGAGGCUUGAGUAGGUAAACAAAGCGGCCCGGGAAGCUCGAACUGGGUGGAGCCCACCACAGCUCAAGGAGGCCCACUAGCCUCUGUAGACUCCCCCUCUGGGGGCAGGGAAUACCCGAACAAAAGUCAGCAGAAACCUCUGCAGACUUAAAUGUCCCUGUCUGACAGGUUUGAAGAGAGUAGUGGUUCUCCCAGCACGGAGUUUGAGAUCUGAGAACGGACAGACUGCCUCCUCAAGUGGGUCCCUGACCACCAAGUAGCCUAACUGGGAGGCACCCCUCAGUAGGGGCAGAUUCACACCUCACACGGCUGGGUACUGCUCUGAGAGGAAACCUCCAGAGGAACGAUAAGACAGCAAGAUUUGCCGUUCAGCAAUAUUCGCUGUUCUGCAGCCUCUACUGCUGAUACCCAGGCAAACAGGUUCUGGAGUGGACCUCCAGCAAACUCCAACAGAUCUGCAGCUGAGGGUCCUGACUGUUAGAAGGAAAAUUAGCAAACAGAAAGGACAUCCACACCAAAACCCAAUCUGUACAUCACCAUCAUCAAAGACCAAAGGUAGAUAAAACCGCAAAGAUGGGGAAAAAACAGAACAGAAAAACUGAAAAUUCUAAAAAUCAGAGCACCUCUCCUCCUCCAAAGGAACACAGCUCCUCACCAGCAACCAAACAAAGCUGGACAGAGAAUGACUUUGACGAGUUGAGAGCAGAAGGCUUCAGAUGAUCAAACUCCUCCGAGCUAAAAGAGGAAGUUCAAACCCAUCGCAAAGAAGUUAAAAACCUUGAAAAAAGAUUAGACGAAUGGCUAACUAGAAUAACCAAUGCAGAGAAGUCCUUAAAGGACCUGGUGGAACUGAAAACCAUGGCACGAGAGCUACAUGACGAAUGCAAAAGCUUCAGUAGCCGAUUCGAUCAACUGGAAGAAAGGGUAUCAGUAAGUGAAGAUCAAAUGAAUGAAAUGAAGCGAGAAGAGAAGUUUAGAGAAAAAAGAAUAAAAAGGAACUAACAAAGCCUCCAAGAAAUAUGCGACAAUGUGAAAAGACCAAAUCAGCAUCUGAUUGGUGUAUCUGAAAGUGACGGGGAGAAUGGAACCAAGUUGGAAAACACUCUGCAGGAUAUUAUCUAGGAUAACUGCACAAUCUAUCAAGGCAGGCCAACAUUCAAAUUCAGGAAAUACAGAGAAUGCCACAAAGAUACUCCUCGAGAAGAGCAACUCCAAGACACAUAACUGUCAGAUUCACCAAAGUUGAAAUGAAGGAAAAAAUGUUAAGGGGAGCCAGAGAGAAAGGUCCGGUUACCCACAAAGGGAAGCCCAUCAGACUAACAGCUGAUCUCUUGGCAGAAACUUAAAAGUGAGAAGAGAGUGGGGGCCAAUAUUCAACAUUCUUAAAGAAAAGAAUUUUCAACCAAGAAUUUCAUAUCCAGCCAAACUAAACUUCAUGAGUGAAGGAGAAAUAAAAUCCUUUACACACAAGCAAAUGCUGAGAGAUUUUGUUACCACCAGGCCUGCCCUAAAAGAGCUCCUGAAGGAAGCAUUAAACAUGGAAAGGAAAAACUGGUACCAGCCACUGAAAAACAUGCCAAAUUUUAAAGACCAUCGAUGCUAAGAAGAAACUGCAUCAACUAAUGAGCAAAAUAACCAGCUAACAUCAUUAUGACAGGAUCAAAUUCACACAUAACAAUAUUAACCUUAAAAGUAAAUGGGCCAAAUGCUCCAAUUCAAAGACACAGACUGGCAAAUUGGAUAAAGUGUCAAGACCCAUCAGUGUGCUGUAUUCAGGAAACCCAUCUCACAUGCAGAGACACACAUAGGCUCAAAAUAAAGGAAAGGAGGAAUAUCUACCAAGGAAAUGGAAAACAAAAAAAGGCAGGGGUUGCAAUCCUAGUCUCUGAUAAAACAGACUUUAAACCAACAAAGAUCAAAAGAGACAAAGAAGGCCAUUACAUAAUGGUAAAGGGAUCAAUUCAAUAAGAAGAGCUAACUAUCCUAAAUAUAUAUGCACGCAGUAUAGGAGCACCCAGAUUCAUAAAGCAAGUCCUUAGAGACCUACAAAGAGACUUAGACUCCCACACAAUAUUAAUGGGAGACUUUAACACCCCACUGUCAACAUUAUACAGAUCCACGAGACAAAGUUAACAAGGUUAUCCAGGAAUUGAAUUCAGCUCUGCACCAAGUGGACCUAAUAAACAUCUACAGAACUCUCCACCCCAAAUCAACAGAGUAUACAUUCUUCUCAGCACCACACCGCACCUAUUCCAAAAGUGACCACAUAGUUGGAAGUAAAGCACUCCUCAGCAAAUGUAAAAGAACAGAAAUUAUAACAAAGUGUCUCUCAGAUCACAGUGAAAUCAAACUAGAACUCAGGAUUAAGAAACUCACUCAGUACCACUCUGCUACAUGGAAACUGAACAACCUGCUCCUGCGUGACUACUGGGUACAUAACAAAAUGAAGGCAGAAAUAAAGAUGUUCUUUGAAACCAAUGAGAACAAAGACACAACAUACCAGAAUCUCUGAGACACAUUUAAAGCACUGGGUAGAGGGAAAUUUAUAGCACUAAAUGCCCACAAGAGAAAGCAGGAAGAUCUAAAAUUGACACCCUAACAUCACAAUUAUAAGAACUAGAGAAGCAAGAGCAAACACAUUCAAAUCUAGCAGAAGACAAGAAAUAACUAAGAUCAGAGCAGAACUGAAGGAGAUAGAGACACAAAAAACCCUUCAAAAAAACCAAUGAAUCCAGGAGCUGGUUUUUUGAAAAGAUCAACAAAAUUAAUAGACCACUAGCAAGACUAAUAAAGAAGAAAAGAGAAGAAUCAAACAGAUGCGACAAAAAAUGAUAAAGGGGAUAUCACCACCGAUCCCACAGAAACUACCAUCAGAGAAUACUAUAAACACCUCUACGCAAAAAGACUAGAAAGUCUAGAAGAAAUGGAUAAAUUCGUCGACACAUACACUAUCCCAAGACUAAACAAGGAAGAAGUUGAAUCUCUGAAUAGACCAAUAACAGGCUCUGAAAUUGAGGCAAUAAUUAAUAGCUUACCAACCAAAAAAAGUCCAGGACCAGACAGAUUCACAGCCGAAUUCUACCAGAGGCACAAGGAGGAGCUGGUACCAAUCCUUCUGAAACUAUUCCAAUCAAUAGAAAAAAAGGGAAUCCUCCCUAACUCAUUUUAUGAGGUCAGCAUCAUGCUGAUACCAAAGCCUGGCAGAGACACAACAGAAAAAGAGAAUUUUAGACCAACAUCCCUGAUGAACAUCCAUGCAAAAAUCCUCAAUAAAAUACUGGCAAACCAAAUCCAGCAACACAUCAAAAAGCUUAUCCACCAUGAUCAAGAGGGCUUCUUCCCUGGGAUGCAAGGCUGGAUCAACAUAUGCAAAUCAAUAAAUGUAAUGCAGCAUAUAAAGAGAACCAAAGAUAAAAAACAUAUGAUUAUCUCAAUAGAUGCAGAAAAGGCCUUUGACAAAAUUCAACAGCCCUUCAUGCUAAAAACUCUUAAUAAAUUAGGUAUUGAUGGGAUGUAUCUCAAAAUAAUCAUAACGAUCUAUGACAAACCCACAGCCAAUAUCAUACUGAAUGGGCAAAAAUUUGAAGCAUUCCCUUUGAAAACUGGCACAAGACAGGGAUGCCCUCUCUCACCACUCCUAUUCAACAUAGUGUUGGAAGUUCUGGCCAGGGCAAUUAGGCAGGAGAAAGAAAUAAAGGGUAUUCAAACAGGAAAAGAGGGAAUCAAAUUGUCCCUGUUUGCAGAUGACAUGAUUGUAUAUCUAGAAAAGCCCAUCGUCUCAGCCCAAAAUCUCUUUAAGCUGAUAAGCAACUUCAGCAAAGUCUCAGGAUACAAAAUCAAUGUGCAAAAAUCACAAGCAUUCUUAUACACCAAUAACAGACAAACAGAGAGCCAAAUCAUGAAUGAACUCCCAUUCACAAUUGCUUCAAAGAGAGUAAAAUACCUAGGAAUCCAACUUACAAGGGAUGUGAAGGACCUCUUCAAGGAGAACUACAAACCACCGCUCAACAAAAUAAAAGAGGACACAAACAAAUGGAAGAACAUUCCAUGCUCAGGGAUAGGAAGAAUCAAUAUUGUGAAAAUGGCCAUACUGCCCAAGGUAAUUUAUAGAUUCAGUGGCAUCCCCAUCAAGCUACCAAUGACUUUCUUCACAGAAUUGGAAAAAACUACUUUAGCUUUCAUAUGGAACUAAAAAAGAGCCCACAUUGCCAAGUCAAUCCUAAGCCAAAAGAGCAAAGCUGGAGGCAUCACGCUACCUGACUUCACACUAUACUACAAGGCUACAGCAACCAAAACAGCAUGGUACUGGUACCAAAACAGAGUUAGAGACCAAUGGAACAGAAUAGAGCACUCAGAAAUAAUACCACAUAUCAACAACUAUCUGAUCUUUGACAAAUCUGAAAAAAACAAGAAAUGGGGAAAGGAUUCCCUAUUUAACAAAGGGUGAUGGGAAAACUGGCUAGCCAUAUGUAGAAAGCUGAAACUGGAUCCCUUCCUUACACCUUAUACAAAAAUUAAUUCAAGAUGGAUUAAAGACUUAAAUGUUAGACCUAAAACCAUAAAAACCAAACCUAGGCAAUACAAUUCGGUACAUAGGCAUGGGCAAGGACUCCAUGUCUAAAACACCAAAAACAAUGGCAACAAAAGCUAAAAUUGAAAAAUGAGAUCCAAUUAAGCUACAGAACUUCUGCACAGCAAAAGAAAGUACCAUCAGAGUAAACAGGCAACCUACAGAAUGGGAGAAAAUUUUUGCAAUCUACUCAUCUGACUAACGGCUAAUAUCCAGAAUCUACAAAGAACUCAAACAAAUUUACAAGAAAAAAAUAAACAACCCCAUCAAAAAGUGGGCAAAGUAUAUGAACAGACACUUCUCAAAAGAAGACAUUUAUGCAGCCAAAAGACACAUGAAAAAAUGGAUAUCAUCACUGGCCAUCAGAGAAAUGCAAAUCAAAACCACAAUGAGAUACCAUCUCACACCAGUUAGAAUGGCGAUCAUUAAAAAGUCAGGAAACCACAGGUGCUGGAGAGGAUGUGGAGAAAUAGGAACACUUUUACACUGUUGGUGGGACUGUAAACUAGUUCAACCAUUGUGGAAUUCAGUGUGGCGAUUUCUCAGGGAUCUAGAACUAGAAAUACCAUUUGACCCAGCCAUCUCAUUACUGGGUAUAUACCCAAAGGAAUAUAAAUCAUGCUACUAUAAAGACGUAUGCACACGUAUGUUUAUUGAGGCACUAUUCACAAUAGCAAAGACUUGGAACCAACCCAAAUGUCCAACAAUGAUAAACUGGAUUAAGAAAAUGUGGCACAUAUACACCAUGGAAUACUGUGCAGCCAUAAAAAAUGAUAAGUUCAUGUCCUUUGUAGGGACAUGGAUGAACCUGGAAACCACCAUUCUCAGCAAACUAUCACAAGGACAAAAAACCAAACACUGCAUGUUCUCAUUCACAGGUGGGAAUUGAACAAUGAGAACACUUGGACACAAGAAGGGCAACAUCACACACCGGAGCCUGUUGUGGGGUGUGGGGAGUGGGGAGGGAUAGCAUUAGGAGGUAUACCUAAUGUAAAUGACGAGUUAAUGCGUGCAGCACACCAACAUGGCAGAUGUAUACAUAUGAAACAAUCCUGCAUGUUGUGCAUGUGUACCCGAGAACUUAAAGUUUAAUUAAAAAAAUGAAAAAUAUAUAUGUAGACAUACAAUUACAUGUAGAUUUCUUAUGAUAAUCACCCUUUUAUAAUUUUAAAGCUGAAAUGAUUUGACAAAUUGAGCAUAACAAAGACAAACAAUAAAAUCUCAAAUUAAUUACAUUAAAAAUACAUAUUUUACUAAGAACAAGUGCCAUUUCAACAAAAAUAUUAAUUCCUUAAAAAAAGAGUUUUCCUACCUGUUUGACAUUUCUUUAUCACCUUGUUAAGUUUCAUUUAUACCACCAAAUUUAACUAUUAAAAUAACUGCAAAAUCCUUUGUUUGUAUAGUGCAUCCUACACAUAAAAUCAACUUCUGAUUUUAUCUCUCUAUCCCAUAAUAACCAGGCAAUAGAGUUAAGAAAAAAUGUAACAGUAAACACAAAUAAGAUGGGCCUUGAGAUUAUAUUAUAGUCCUCAAUAGUGAAGUAGCUAUUCAGAUGUGCAAGAUAUAAUAAUAUUACUUUUAUUAGAUUUUAGUUGAAAAAAAAGUAUUUUUAUGAAGAAUUCAGAUAAUUAUGUAAUACAUCUCUUACUCUGUGGUAAACUGACUUAUUGCUCCAAAACUCAUGAUACUCAAAGACAGUACUAUUUUAUCCACACAGGUUGUUAAUGUAAAUUGUCAAAAUAGUUGGCUAUUUCUACAUUUUAGUUUCUUCUAAUACAAAAUAAAAAUAAUAGGAUCAUCAAUUUUGGCUUCUUGUUAUUAAUAAUUAACAAAUGUAUCAUAAACACAACAUUGUAUUCUGACAUAUUUUUAAUCAUGAAAAUAGAUUGGAGUUUUGAUUUCAUGAAGAUCUUCCCCAUUGUUAACUUUAGAAAAGUUGAAAAAUUUAUUUCUAAACUUAAUAGGUUUCAGAAAUUCACACAAUUUUUACAGAAAAGAGCACAUAGAACAUCCUAGAAUGAAAAGAUAAUUACAUAUUAGCUAAAUAAAAUGUUAAAUGCAGUAACGAAUAAUGAAUUUUAUAAAAUACCAUUACUAUUGCUUUAUUUUUGUUUGAUCACCAAUUUACUGUUAAAAUUGCCCACAUUAAGGAAUGGUUAUGUUUGCUACAUAUUCCUGUACUAUUUUCAAUUUAGAUAAAUAUUUCUGAUCACAUCACUUAAUAAGAUCAUCACUCAACUCUUUUAAUCAAAAAAGGCUUAUGCAUCUAAUAUUAAAUAUUCAAACACAAUUUAAAGUUAUAAAUUAUUUAGAAACUGCAAAAAAAUCACAUCACCACUUUAUACUGGGCAUAGGUGGGUUUCCACAAUGAUUUAACAAUGGUUUGCCCAGACCCAUCAGUAUACAUAUCUGCCUACCUAAGUAAGCAUAAUAUUGUGAGUAGUUUUCUAAAAUUCUCAAUAUUAUCUAUGAAUGUUACUCUCUAAUAAAAUCUGGAAUUACCUUUGCAAAACUGAAGUUAUAAGUUGCUUUUUGCAUAUGUAAUUGUCCAUUAGGGAGAGAACCAACAACAAACCAAGAAAAUUAUUUCUGCUAAACAUUAGCUAUAAUUUAUACUGCUUCUUAUCAUAAAAUGAAUUAAGGUAACAAGUAAUAAUACCAAAGAUUCACUUGCCCUGCAUAACACUUCAUUUCUUCUGAUAUGUUUUUUAGCAUUUUAUUUAUUUACUUUUAUACUUUUAAAUUUAAUUUUAAUUUUUAAUUACCAUGAAUACUUAAUAGUUGUCCAUAUUCAUGAGGUACAUGUGAUAUUUUGAUAGAAGCAUAUAAUGUGUAAUUAUCAAAUCAGGGUAAUCAGAAUAUCUAUCACCUUAAUCAUUUAUCAUUUCUUUGUGUUAGAAACAUUCAAAUUUCACUCUUUCAGUUAUUUUAAAAUAUACAAAAUAUUAUUAUUAACUGUAGUCACCAAAUUGUGCUAGUGAAUACUAAAUUUUAUUCAUUCUAUCUGACUGAAUUUUUGUACCCAUUAGCCAUUUUGUCUUUUUUCAGUACCCCCUCCCUAAUACCUUUCCUAGCCUCUGGUAACAAUAAUUCUACUCUCAAUAUUCAUGAGUUCAAUUUCCUUUUAGCUUCCACAUAUGAGUGAGAACAUGUAAUAUUUGUCUUUCUGUACUGGCUUAUUCCACUUAACAUAAUGUCCUUCAGUUCCAUCCAUGUUGUUGCAAAUGACAAGAUUUUAUUCUUUUUUAUAGUUGGAUAAUUUUCCAUUUUGCAUAUGUGCUGCAUUUUCUUUAUUCAUUAAUCCAUUGAUGGAAAUUUAGGCUGAUCCCAUGUCUUGGAUACUGUGAAUAGUGCUUCAAUAAACAUGAGAGUGCAGACGUC
rnacentral:lncRNA from 1 species